rnacentral:lncRNA from 1 species
UUGGGUGGCAGACUAUGUCGCCCCACCACAUUCAACCUUCAUACCGGGGUGGAGCAGUUUCUUGGCCUCCUAGGUCACCCCACUUAACGUCGCUCGAUUUUUUCUUGUGGGGACAUGUCAAGUCUUUAAUCUACGAAACUCCAGUAGAAUCAGAGCUAGACUUAAUUGGACGAAUAACAGCAGCAUUUGAAAUCAUUCAAAACGAGGAUCAAAUUUUUAGUGUAAUCCGCCGAAAUCAUGUGCGGCGUUUAAAUCGGUGUAUUCAGGUUGGAGGAAGACAUUUUGAACAAUUGUUGUGAUGGUAUCAUAUACAAAAGGGCCGUAGUGGCGUCUAUAUCCAAGGAUAUAGAGUCUAUAUCCUUGGCCGGCCAGGUCACCCGAUUUAACAUGCCUAGACUUUUACUUAUGGGGUCGUUUAAAAGAUAUUGUGUACCAAACUCCACCUACAACAAGACAGGAUAUGGAAAACAGAAUCCGUGGUGCAAUAAAUGAAAUAUCAGCUGCUGAAAUCGAAACAGCAGUUUUAUCCACCCAAAGAAGAUUGGAAGCUUGUUUGAAAUGUGAUGGAAAGCAGUUUGAACACCUAUCGAGGCAUUAAAUACCAAAUAUGUUUGGGUUUAAAAUCGGUCCUUUUCAGGACCAUAAUUAAAUAUAAAAAGAAAUUCGUUCAUAAAAUUAUUCGCCUUAAGAAAGUCACAUAAACUUCUAGUUAUUCUGUGAUACAUAGGUAUUAUUAUCUUAUGAUUCAUCAAUUAAUUAUUACUUUAAUAAUUUAUUAAUUAUGACAACAUCAUGGUAUCCUAGUUGUGCUAAUACUAAUUAGAGAUUUUUAGGCGGUACACUAGAUGGCGGUACGUUAGUUUAGGCUCGGUGUGUAAAAAACUUUAAUUCGCUAUAACUUUAAAACGAGCAAAGAUAUCAUCGUCCGGUUUUCACAGUACUUUUGCAAAUUUUAUUUACUUUUUAAAGAGGAUGUCAAAAAUAUACCAUUUAAUUUGAAUUUUUAGAGCAAAAUUAAAAAAACUGGAAUUAUUACAAACUGUACCCUCUGGCGCUUUUAUUAGAAACUACAGAGUAGUGAUGAUAUCAGACUUUUAUCUAGCAAAUAAAUUUUGAAUUGCUAAAAUCAAAUGCGUGGUUUAGAAUUUACAGAGAUUUUAAUGAUUCCACUUUCAAUAGCUGCCCCCACCCCUACUUUCGUUCGUACGUCAAUAAUUCUUAAACCAAAAUGAUAGCAAAUUAUCUAGACUCACUAAAAAUAAUAUCAAAAGUAUAAGUUAAUAUUUAAGUUUUCGGAGAAAAAAAGGUUUCUCUUAUUUAAUUUUUAGUUGCGCCCUCUUGCAGUAAAAAGUACGGAACUUAAAAAUAAUUUCCAGAAUUUUCUCAUGGCCACUUUUAUAAAAAAAUUAAUAAAAAAAAUUCCAGGUUGCCAGAUGUACAGCCGCUUACCUCGCUUAUUUGGCCACUCGGUACAAUAGCAGCGUAGAACGAAACUAAAGUUGAGGGAGUCCAAUCUAACUACAAAGACUAAUAACUUCCUCACGCAACUGAGAGAUUGUCCCCAAUUAAUACUUUCUUACCAUCUAGUUUCUGCAGAUAUGGAAACGCAAUCUUUUUUAACCAAUUGUAAAAGUUAUAUUGUCAAACCACUGACUCACGCUUUCGUUAUACUCGUAUAUCGUAUGCCCCACGUCAAAUAUACAUUUUUACAUACAA